GAUGAUUAUUGGAGGUAGAGCACUGUUUGGACGAGGGGCCCCUCUCGGGUUACCGAAUUCAGACAAACUCCGAAUGCCAAUUAAUUUAACUUGGGAGUCAGAACAUGGGUGAUAAGGUCCAUGUUCGAAAGGGAAACAGCCCAGACCACCAGCUAAGGUCCCAAAAUAUAUGUUAAGUGGAAAAGGAUGUGGCGUUGCCCAGACAACUAGGAUGUUGGCUUAGAAGCAGCCAUCAUUUAAAGAGUGCGUAAUAGCUCACUAGUCGAGUGACACUGCGCCGAAAAUGUACCGGGGCUAAACAUAUUACCGAAGCUGUGGAUUGUCCUUUGGACAAUGGUAGGAGAGCGUUCUAAGGGCGUUGAAGCAUGAUCGUAAGGACAUGUGGAGCGCUUAGAAGUGAGAAUGCCGGUGUGAGUAGCGAAAGACGGGUGAGAAUCCCGUCCACCGAUUGACUAAGGUUUCCAGAGGAAG
rnacentral:rRNA from 1 species